GCUUUCCAAAGGGGAGUGCUUGGGAAUUACCUGUAUUUGUACAGAUUUUUCUUUGUUUUGUUUUGAUAAGGCUUGUGUCUAGUCUAAGGUGACAUGGUUUCUAAAACUCCACCAGAACACAACAGUCGUCCGCUGAAAGAAAAAAAUCCUUUUUAACAAGGAAGCUGGAGGGAAAUGGAACACGUUCGUGCUUGUGUUGAGUUUAUUGCUUGGUGCAGAAAUCUUUGGGACAGUUUAUUUUUUUUUUCACUUCGCUAUGGAAAUCAAACAGACUCGAGAGCUGGUGAGAUCGGGAGACUACCCACUGCGGUGUCUGCAGUAUCUUGUGGAUCAAGACUUUCUGGAAAGGAAAUUGCCCCACUCCGGAGAUUCUGCCUGUGACCAGUGGCUUAGGGAAGCAGAGCACAUUAUAAAUAAGCAGUUGAAGUCAGAUAUCAAGAACACAUUAUAUCGUGAACUCACAGAAAACCAGCCAUUCAUCUCGGACCUGAUCACCUCGGAAGACAAUUCCGCGUGAGGCUAAACAGCGGUCACAAGUUACAGUGGGACAACAAAGAGGGGAUGGCGUUGAAGCAAGGGAUGAUGGGAUACCAGGACGGUCGUUCUGCGGGAUGGUGUUUACUUCAUCUACUCACAGGUUUACUUCCGAGUCGGUCCCCGAGGCAAGGACCAGCAGAGCCAGCCCUUC